rnacentral:misc_RNA from 1 species
GAUGAAGAACGGCAGCGAAAUGCGAUACGUAAUGUGAAUUGCAAAUUCAGUGAAUCAUCGAGUCUUUGAACGCACAUUGCGCCCCCUGGUAUUCCGGGGGGCAUGCCUGUCCGAGCGUCAUUGCUGCCCUCAAGCACGGCUUGUGUGUUGGGCCCCGUCCUCCGAUCCCGGGGGACGGGCCCGAAAGGCAGCGGCGGCACCGCGUCCGGUCCUCGAGCGUAUGGGGCUUUGUCACCCGCUCUGUAGGCCCGGCCGGCGCUUGCCGAUCAACCCAAAUUUUUAUCCAGGUUGACCUCGGAUCAGGUAGGGAUACCCGCUGAACUUAAGCAUAUCAAUAAGCGGAGGA